rnacentral:tRNA from 1 species
GGAGGGUAUAGCUCAGUGGUAGAGUGCCUGCUUAGCAUGCAUGAGGUCCUAGGUUCAAUCCCCAGUACCUCCA